rnacentral:rRNA from 1 species
GUGGGGAAUUUUGCGCAAUGGGGGAAACCCUGACGCAGCAACGCCGCGUGAGUGAUGAAGGCCUUCGGGUCGUAAAGCUCUGUCAGAGGGGAAGAAAUGCAGGGGUGCUAAUAUCAUCUUUGCUUGACGGUACCCUCAAAGGAAGCACCGGCUAACUCCGUGCCAGCAGCCGCGGUAAUACGGAGGGUGCGAGCGUUGUUCGGAAGUAUUGGGCGUAAAGCGCGUGUAGGCGGUUUGGUAAGUCUGAUGUGAAAGCCCCGGGCUCAACCUGGGAAGUGCAUUGGAAACUGUCAGACUUGAAUACGGGAGAGGGUAGUGGAAUUCCUAGUGUAGGAGUGAAAUCCGUAGAUAUUAGGAGGAACACCGGUGGCGAAGGCGGCUACCUGGACCGAUAUUGACGCUGAGACGCGAAAGCGUGGGGAGCAAACAGGAUUAGAUACCCGUGUAGUCC